rnacentral:tRNA from 1 species
GGGGUGGUUGAGUCCCGGUGGGCUCCGCGGUCUUCAAAACCGUCUGGGGGGCGCUGCAGAGGCGUCCCCGGUGGGUUCGACUCCCAUCCACUCCCGCCA